GUAUGGAAUUUGCAUGUUCUCCCCAUUUUCACAUGGGUUCCCUCCGGGUGCUUUGGUUUUCUCCCACUUCCAAAGACAUAUGGAUUACGUGAAUUGGAAACUUUAAAUUGACCCGAGGUGUGCAUGCGAGUGUGUGUGUGUUUGUUUGUCUAUAUGUGGCCCUGCGACAGACUGGCAUCCUGUCCAGGGUGUACCCCAACUCGCGCUCUAUGUCUGCUGCAAUACGCUCCAGCCCUACAUGACCCUUAAUUGGACUAAGCGGUUGAAGAUGAGUGAGUGUGAGAAUAA